rnacentral:SRP_RNA from 1 species
UCGUGCUAGCCGGGGAGUUAGCGGUGCCCUAUUCCUGCAAUCCGCUAUAGCAGGGGUGAAUUCCCAACUAAGCCAACCGAGUUUUGAGGCUGGCCUAGGAAAGUGGUGUUGAUAGUCGGGUCUUAUGCAACAGAAACCUGUGAACCUCGUCAGGUCCGGAAGGAAGCAGCGAUAAGCGGGAUCUUUUGUGUGCCAUAAGGUUGCCUGGCUGGAGCUAACUACUUAGGUAACGCUCAGGGCAGGAAGGCGAGGAAGGGUGCACGA